rnacentral:tRNA from 1 species
GCCUGGCUGGCUCAGUCCAAAGAGCAUGCGACUCUUGAUCUCAGGGUUGUGAGUUCGAGCCCCAUGUUGGGUA